UACAAUGGAGAGUUUGAUCCUGGCUCAGGAUGAACGCUAGCGGGAGGCCUAACACAUGCAAGCCGAGCGGUAUUUGUUCUUCGGAACAGAGAGAGCGGCGUACGGGUGCGGAACACGUGUGCAACCUGCCUUUAUCAGGGGGAUAGCCUUUCGAAAGGAAGAUUAAUACCCCAUAAUAUAAGAAACGGCAUCGUUUUUUAUUGAAAACUCCGGUGGAUAGAGAUGGGCACGCGCAAGAUUAGAUAGUUGGUGAGGUAACGGCUCACCAAGUCUGCGAUCUUUAGGGGGCCUGAGAGGGUGAUCCCCCACACUGGUACUGAGACACGGACCAGACUCCUACGGGAGGCAGCAGUGAGGAAUAUUGGACAAUGGGUUAGCGCCUGAUCCAGCCAUCCCGCGUGAAGGACGACGGCCCUAUGGGUUGUAAACUUCUUUUGUAUAGGGAUAAACCUACUCUCGUGAGAGUAGCUGAAGGUACUAUACGAAUAAGCACCGGCUAACUCCGUGCCAGCAGCCGCGGUAAUACGGAGGGUGCAAGCGUUAUCCGGAUUUAUUGGGUUUAAAGGGUCCGUAGGCGGAUCUGUAAGUCAGUGGUGAAAUCUCACAGCUUAACUGUGAAACUGCCAUUGAUACUGCAGGUCUUGAGUGUUAUUGAAGUAGCUGGAAUAAGUAGUGUAGCGGUGAAAUGCAUAGAUAUUACUUAGAACACCAAUUGCGAAGGCAGGUUACUAAGCAACAACUGACGCUGAUGGACGAAAGCGUGGGGAGCGAACAGGAUUAGAUACCCUGGUAGUCCACGCCGUAAACGAUGCUAACUCGUUUUUGGUUUUUCGGAAUCAGAGACUAAGCGAAAGUGAUAAGUUAGCCACCUGGGGAGUACGUUCGCAAGAAUGAAACUCAAAGGAAUUGACGGGGGCCCGCACAAGCGGUGGAUUAUGUGGUUUAAUUCGAUGAUACGCGAGGAACCUUACCAAGGCUUAAAUGGGAAAUGACAGGUUUAGAAAUAGACUUUUCUUCGGACAUUUUUCAAGGUGCUGCAUGGUUGUCGUCAGCUCGUGCCGUGAGGUGUUAGGUUAAGUCCUGCAACGAGCGCA
rnacentral:rRNA from 1 species